rnacentral:tRNA from 1 species
AGUGGAAAAGGGGUUGAACCAACAUCGAAAAACUCAAAAUUUUACGCAUUUCUGUUAUGCUACCCACUA